CCAGUGGGAGACGAGCCUGCGGUGGCGGACCUCCUCGAUACAUCUAGGCAAACAUUUCCUGCUCUCUACUGGAAAAAGAACAGUUCAUACCAAAUGUUCAGGAACCAGUACAGCCCCUUGUACGCCACCUACACACCGAGUAUAAACCACCUGUACGUGCCCAUGGGUGUGUUCACCAAGCCAGUCUUCCGCAACAGCCAAAAGAACCGCAUAUUUACUGCAGCCGCCGGCUACCUGGUGAUCAGCGGGUUCAUGAAGGCCUUGACAAUGAGCGG
rnacentral:lncRNA from 1 species